rfam:Paenibacillus sp. FSL H7-0737, complete genome.
AAACUUCAUAGGCAAACCUAUGGAAAUGUAGGGACGCAAAGCUAUAGGGACUAAGGUUAUCAUAACUAUUGUCAGCCAGCUGCCAAA